CGGGAUGUAGUUCAGGUGGUAGAGCGCUUAUAUCGCACAUAUGAGGUCCCGGGUUCGAUCCCCGGCAUCUCCA
rfam:Cricetulus griseus cell line CHO-K1, whole genome shotgun sequence.